AUUGAACGCUGGCGGCAGGCCUAACACAUGCAAGUCGAGCGGAUGAAGGGAGCUUGCUCCUGGAUUCAGCGGCGGACGGGUGAGUAAUGCCUAGGAAUCUGCCUGGUAGUGGGGGAUAACGUCCGGAAACGGGCGCUAAUACCGCAUACGUCCUGAGGGAGAAAGUGUGGGAUCUUCGGACCUCACGCUAUCAGAUGAGCCUAGGUCGGAUUAGCUAGUUGGUGGGGUAAAGGCCUACCAAGGCGACGAUCCGUAACUGGUCUGAGAGGAUGAUCAGUCACACUGGAACGGAGACACGGUCCAGGCUCCUAAGGGAGGCAGCAGUGGGGAAUGUUGGACAAUGGGCGAAAGCCUGAUACAGCCAUGCCGCGUGUGUGGAGAAGGUCUUCGGAUUGUAAAGCACUUUAAGUUGGGAGGAAGGGCAGUAAGUUAAUACCUUGCUGUUUUGACGUUACCAGCAGAAUAAGCACCGGCUAACUUCGUG
rnacentral:rRNA from 1 species